UUAUUAUUAUUGUACUAUUACGAUGCACAAAAUGGAAUGAACAUUCAGCGUUCCAGUAUCGCUGAGAGAGUUCACUAAACAUGAUAUGUACGUAGGCGGCUUGACAAGCGCAGUAGCGACGACCAGCUGCUCCGUAUGUGUAUGUACAUACAGAAAAAAAAAUGUGCUACCGCUGUUCAUUUCCGCGCGGGAACGGGAAACCGACAACAAUAAGAGCAGGAAAAAAUGACGCCGCUUCAGUCGUUCUCUAUUGCCCUGAGGCAACCAUGCCCUUCUUUUCAGCACCAUCAUACUUUAUAAGCGCGGGGGCGGGGGGCAACGGCGGUACGAAAUCGAGUGAAAUCUCAUCUGGUUAAUGUCGAGAGAAUAACGCGCCUCGGGACACACGUGGGAUCCACCCACUUGUUAACGAUGGGCUACGGUGUACAAUUACGGCAUGGGCUAUGGUGUGCAGCGUUGCAUGAGAUUAUAGCCGCAUCAAUCUGCUGCUGCGGGCCUCCUUCAGAGAAGGCUUGUUACAGAUGUCCGGCGUUGGGAACAUCAUUGUUGGCUUAAGAACCGCACGGUUUCACCGACUCAAGCUGUCGUCCAUCCAAAAGGAUCUGUCCUGUACAUAGCUUCAUAUCCGAUUGUCAACGGUAGCGUGUUGUGUCUUUUCGCUGAGUCGAUAGCAAAGAAAGAGGCAGAUAUUAGGAUAGGCGAGACUUUUUUGUAUUACGCACACAGGAGCUAAUUAACGAAAUGGACAGAAACGAGGGCACAGCUGAGAGGAAAUGAAAUGGUUGCUAUGUGUAGA